UACAGAGGUCUCAAGCGUUGUUCGGAUUCAUUGGGCGUAAAGGGUGCGUAGGUGGCGCCGUAAGUCAGGUGUGAAAUCUCGGGGCUCAACCCCGAAACUGCAUUUGAUACUGCGGUGCUCGAGUACUGGAGAGGAGAUUGGAAUUUACGGUGUAGCAGUGAAAUGCGUAGAUACCGUAAGGAAGACCAGUGGCGAAGGCGAAUCUCUGGACAGUUACUGACGCUGAGGCACGAAGGCCAGGGGAGCAAACAGG
rnacentral:rRNA from 1 species